rnacentral:rRNA from 1 species
GCCUACGGGAGGCAGCAGUGAGGAAUAUUGGUCAAUGGGCGCAAGCCUGAACCAGCCAAGUCGCGUGAGGGAUGACGGUCCUAUGGAUUGUAAACCUCUUUUGUCGGGGAGCAAGGCCCGCCACGUGUGGCGGGAAGGAGAGUACCCGAAGAAAAAGCAUCGGCUAACUCCGUGCCAGCAGCCGCGGUAAUACGGAGGAUGCGAGCGUUAUCCGGAUUUAUUGGGUUUAAAGGGUGCGCAGGCGGAGGUGCAAGUCAGCGGGCAAAUUGCGGG